rnacentral:tRNA from 1 species
UCCCUGGUGGUCUAGUGGCUAGGAUUUGUUGUUUUCACCGCUGCGGCCCGGGGUUCAAUUCCCAGUCAGGGAA